rnacentral:rRNA from 1 species
UACGAAGGGUGCUAGCGUUGCUCGGAAUUACUGGGCGUAAAGCGCGCGCAGGUGGUUUUGCAAGUCAGGGGUGAAAUCCCACAGCUCAACUGCGGAAUUGCCUUUGAAACUGCAGAACUAGAGUCCGGAAGAGGAUGGUAGAAUACCCAGUGUAGAGGUGAAAUUCGUAGAUAUUGGGUGGAAUACCAGUGGCGAAGGCGGCCAUCUGGUCCGGUACUGACACUGAGGCGCGAAAGCGUGGGGAUCAAACAGG